UCAGGAUGAACGCUGGCGGUCUGCUUACACAUGCAAGUCGAACGGGCUCUUCGGAGCUAGUGGCGGACGGGUGAGUAACGCGUGAGGAUCUGCCUUCAGGAGGGGGAUAACGACUGGAAACGGUCGCUAAUACCGCAUAUGCCUACGGGUGAAAGAUUUAUCGCCUGGAGAUGAACUCGCGUCAGAUUAGCUAGUUGGUGGGGUAAGAGCCUACCAAGGCGACGAUCUGUAGCUGGUCUGAGAGGAUGAUCAGCCACACUGGGACUGAGACACGGCCCAGACUCCUACGGGAGGCAGCAGUGGGGAAUUUUCCGCAAUGGGCGCAAGCCUGACGGAGCAAGACCGCGUGCGGGAUGACGGCCUAAUGGUUGUAAACCGCUUUUCUCUGGGAAGAUGAUGACGGUACCAGAGGAAUCAGCCUCGGCUAACUCCGUGCCAGCAGCCGCGGUAAUACGGAGGAGGCAAGCGUUAUCCGGAAUUAUUGGGCGUAAAGCGUCCGUAGGUGGUUAUUCAAGUCUGCUGUCAAAGCGUGGGGCUUAACUCCAUAGAGGCAGUGGAAACUGGAUGACUUGAGUGCGGUAGGGGUCGAGGGAAUUCCCAGUGUAGCGGUGAAAUGCGUAGAUAUUGGGAAGAACACCAGUGGCGAAAGCGCUCGACUGGGCCUGCACUGACACUGAGGGACGAAAGCUAGGGGAGCGAAAGGGAUUAGAUACCCCUGUAGUCCUAGCCGUAAACGAUGGAUACUAGGUGUUGCUCGUCAUCGACCCGAGCAGUGCCGUAGCCAACGCGUUAAGUAUCCCGCCUGGGGAGUACGCUCGCAAGAGUGAGACUCAGAGGAAUUGACGGGGGCCCGCACAAGCGGUGGAGUAUGUGGUUAAUUCGAUGCACGCGAAGAACCUUACCAGGGCUUGACAUGUCCGGAACCUU
rnacentral:rRNA from 1 species